CCUACGGGAGGCAGCAGUGGGGAAUAUUGCACAAUGGGGGAAACCCUGAUGCAGCGACGCCGCGUGAGUGAAGAAGUAUUUCGGUAUGUAAAGCUCUAUCAGCAGGGAAGAAAAUGACGGUACCUGAUUAAGAAGCCCCGGCUAACUACGUGCCAGCAGCCGCGGUAAUACGUAGGGGGCAAGCGUUAUCCGGAUUUACUGGGUGGAAAGGGAGCGUAGACGGGAGCACAAGUCUGGAGGGAAAUGCCGGGGCUUAACCCCGGAACUGCUGUGGAAACUGUGCAGCUAGAGUGCAGGAGAGGUAAGUGGAAUUCCUGGUGUAGCGGUGAAAUGCGUAGAUAUUAGGAGGAACACCGGUGGCGAAGGCGGCUUACUGGACUGUAACUGACGUUGAGGCUCGAAAGCGUGGGGAGCGAACAGGAUUAGAUACCCCGGUAGUC
rnacentral:rRNA from 1 species